rnacentral:rRNA from 1 species
GGUAGGCUUAACACAUGCAAGCCGAGGGGUAACAGUAGUAGCAAUACUAGCUGACGACCGGCGCACGGGUGCGUAACGCGUAUGCAACUUGCCCUUAACAAGGGGAUAGCUCGAGGAAACUUGAAUUAAUACCUUAUAGUUUUAUAAUAUCGCAUGAUAUAAUAAAUAAAGAUUUAUCGGUUAAGGAUGGGCAUGCGUGCCAUUAGCUAGUUGGUGAGGUAACGGCUCACCAAGGCAACGAUGGCUAGGGGUUCUAAAAGGAAGAUCCCCCACACUGGUACUGAGACACGGACCAGACUCCUACGGGAGGCAGCAGUGAGGAAUAUUGGGCAAUGGAUGAGAGUCUGACCCAGCCAAUCCGCGUGUAGGAAGACUGCCUUUAUGGUUGUAAACUACUUUUAUACGAGAAGAAACGUUCCUACGUGUAGGAAUCUGACGGUAUCGUACGAAUAAGCAUCGGCUAACUCCGUGCCAGCAGCCGCGGUAAUACGGAGGAUGCAGGCGUUAUCCGGAAUUAUUAGGUUUAAAGGGUGCGUAGGCGGCUUAAUAAGUCAGUGGUGAAAUACUUGGGCUCAACCGAAGAACUGCCAUUGAAACUAUUAAGCUUGAAUACAGAUGAGGUAGGCGGAAUGUGUAAUGUAGCGGUGAAAUGCAUAGAUAUUACACAGAACACCAAUUGCGAAGGCAGCUUACUAAACUGCUAUUGACGCUGAUGCACGAAAGCGUGGGGAGCAAACAGGAUUAGAUACCCUGGUAGUCCACGCCGUAAACGAUGAUUACUGGUUGUGUGCGAUAUAUUGUACGUGACUGA